AUGAACGCUGGCGGCGUGCCUAAUACAUGCAAGUCGAGCGAACAGACGAGGAGCUUGCUCCUCUGACGUUAGCGGCGGACGGGUGAGUAACACGUGGAUAACCUACCUAUAAGACUGGGAUAACUUCGGGAAACCGGAGCUAAUACCGGAUAAUAUAUUGAACCGCAUGGUUCAAUAGUGAAAGACGGUUUUGCUGUCACUUAUAGAUGGAUCCGCGCCGCAUUAGCUAGUUGGUAAGGUAACGGCUUACCAAGGCAACGAUGCGUAGCCGACCUGAGAGGGGGGGCCGGCACACAGGGAAACGGACACGCGGCAGACCCCCCCGGGGGGGACAAGGAGGGGAACUUCCCCAAAGGGGGAAAACCCGUGGGGGCAAACCCGCGUGGGUGAGAAAAGUUUUUGGAUUUUAAAAAUCUUUUUUUUGGGGAAAAAAAAAGUGUAAAAAAAAAUACACGCCUUGACGGGACCCAAACAGAGAACCCCGCGUCAAUCCGU
rnacentral:rRNA from 1 species